AGAGUUCGAUCCUGGCUCAGGACGAACGCUGGCGGCGCGCCUAACACAUGCAAGUCGCGCGGUUAAAGCCCCCUCGGGGGUGCAUAAAGCGGCGAACGGGCGAGUAACGCGUGGGCAACCUGCCCCCCUCCCGGGAAUAGCCGGGGGAAACCCCGGGUAAGGCCCGGCGACCCCGCGGGGAGGCAUCUCCCGGCGGGCAUACGGAGGGGAGGGGGAUGGGCCCGCGUCCGAUUAGCCAGACGGCGGGGUGACGGCCCACCGUGGCGACGAUCGGUAGCCGGGCUGAGAGGCCGGUCGGCCGCAUUGGGACUGAGACACGGCCCAGACUCCUACGGGAGGCAGCAGUGGGGAAUAUUGCGCAAUGGGCGAAAGCCUGACGCAGCGACGCCGCGUGCGGGAAGGAGGCCCUCGGGCCGUAAACCGCUUUCAGCGGGGACGAUCGUGACUGUACCCGCAGAAGAAGCCCCGGCUAACUACGUGCCAGCAGCCGCGGUAAUACGUAGGGGGCGAGCGUUGUCCGGAUUCAUUGGGCGUAAAGCGCGCGUAGGCGGCCCGGCAGGUCGGGGGUGAAAACACGGGGCCCAACCCCGUGCCUGCCCCCGAAACCGCCGGGCUCGAGUCCCGCAGGGGAUGGCGGAACUCCCGGUGUAGCGGUGGAAUGCGCAGAUAUCGGGAGGAACACCGGUGGCGAAGGCGGCCAUCUGGGCGGGCACUGACGCUGAGGCGCGAGAGCCGGGGGAGCGAACAGGAUUAGAUACCCUGGUAGUCCCGGCCGUAAACGAU
rnacentral:rRNA from 1 species